rnacentral:ncRNA from 1 species
UAACAAGCUACAAAGGGCAUACGGUGGAUACCUUGGCACCAGCAGUCGACGAAGGACGUAGUAAGCUACGAAAAGUCGCGGUGAGCUGCUAACGAGCUAGACCCGCGAGUUUCCGAAUGGGGAAACCCGUUUCGAUUAAUCUCGAAACAUUGCUAGUUGAAUUCAUAGGUUAGCAAAGAUAAGUCAGUGAAUUGAAACAUCUUAGUAACUGGAAGAAAAUAAAACAAAUCAGUGAUUCCCAAAGUAGCGGCGAGUGAAAUGGGAAUAGCCUAAACCGAUUAGCUUGCUAGUCGGGGUUGUAGGGCUGCAUUUAGUACUUGCAAAAGUAAUUGAACAAAGCUGAAAAGCUUGACCAAAGAAGGUGAUAGUCCUGUAAAUAAAACUUAAGCAAGGCGAGCAGUACCCUGAGUAAAUCGGGACACGGGAAAUCCUGAUUGAAGCUACCAGGACCAUCUUGGUAAGGCUAAAUACUGACUGGUGACCGAUAGUGUACAAGUACAGCGAUGGAAAGGUGAAA